rnacentral:rRNA from 1 species
CAGCCGCCGCGGUAAUACGUAGGUGGCAAGCGUUGUCCGGAAUUAUUGGGCGUAAAGCGCGCGUAGGCGGUUUUUUAAGUCUGAUGUGAAAGCCCACGGCUCAACCGUGGAGGGUCAUUGGAAACUGGAAAACUUGAGUGCAGAAGAGGAAAGUGGAAUUCCAUGUGUAGCGGUGAAAUGCGCAGAGAUAUGGAGGAGCACCAGUGGCGGAGGCGACUCUCUGGUCUGUAACUGACGCUGAGGAGCGGAAGCGUGGGGAGCGAACAGGAUUAGAUACCCGAGUAGUCCCUGUCUCUUAUAC